rnacentral:rRNA from 1 species
GUGUCAGCAGCCGCGGUAAUACAGAGGUCCCGAGCGUUGUUCGGAUUCACUGGGCGUAAAGGGUGCGUAGGUGGUGGCGUAAGUCGGAUGUGAAAGCUCGGAGCUCAACUCCGAAAUGGCAUUGGAAACUGCGCUGCUGGAGGGUUGGAGGGGGGACUGGAAUACUUGGUGUAGCAGUGAAAUGCGUAGAUAUCAAGUGGAACACCAGUGGCGAAGGCGAGUCCCUGGACAACACCUGACACUGAGGCACGAAAGCUAGGGGAGCAAACAGGAUUAGAAACCCCUGUAGUCC